UACGAAGGGGGCUAGCGUUGCUCGGAAUUACUGGGCGUAAAGCGCACGUAGGCGGAUCUUUAAGUCAGGGGUGAAAUCCUGGAGCUCAACUCCGGAAUUGCCUUUAAGACUGCAUCGCUAGAAUUGUGGAGAGGUAAGUGGAAUUCCGAGUGUAGAGGUGAAAUUCGUAGAUAUUCGGAAGAACACCAGUGGCGAAGGCGACUUACUGGACACAUAUUGACGCUGAGGUGCGAAAGCGUGGGGAGCAAACAGG
rnacentral:rRNA from 1 species